GACGUAGGGCGCGAGCGUUGUCCGGAUUUAUUGGGCGUAAAGAGCUCGUAGGUGGUUUGUCGCGUUGUCCGUGAAAACUCACAACUCAAUUGUGGGCGUGCGGGCGAUACGGGCAGACUGGAGUACUGCAGGGGAGACUGGAGUUCCUGGUGUAGCGGUGGAAUGCGCAGAUAUCAGGAGGAACACCGGUGGCGAAGGCGGGUCUCUGGGCAGUAACUGACGCUGAGGAGCGAAAGCGUGGGGAGCAAACAGG
rnacentral:rRNA from 1 species